UGGGGAAUAUUGCACAAUGGGCGCAAGCCUGAUGCAGCCAUGCCGCGUGUAUGAAGAAGGCCUUCGGGUUGUAAAGUACUUUCAGCGGGGAGGAAGGCGAUAAGGUUAAUAACCUUGUCGAUUGACGUUACCCGCAGAAGAAGCACCGGCUAACUCCGUGCCAGCAGCCGCGGUAAUACGGAGGGUGCAAGCGUUAAUCGGAAUUACUGGGCGUAAAACGCACGCAGGCGGUCUGUCAAGUCGGAUGUGAAAUCCCCGGGCUCAACCUGGGAACUGCAUUCGAAACUGGCAGGCUAGAGUCUUGUAGAGGGGGGUAGAAUUCCAGGUGUAGCGGUGAAAUGCGUAGAGAUCUGGAGGAAUACCGGUGGCGAAGGCGGCCCCCUGGACAAAGACUGACGCUCAGGUGCGAAAGCGUGGGGAGCAAACA
rnacentral:rRNA from 1 species